rnacentral:rRNA from 1 species
GAUGAACGCUGGCGGCGUGCCUAACACAUGCAAGUCGAACGGACCUUGGGGAACAGAUUACUUCGGUAUGAAGUUCCCCGCUGGUUAGUGGCGGACGGGUGAGUAACGCGUGGGUAACCUGCCGUAUGCAGGGGGAUAACAGUUAGAAAUGACUGCUAAUACCGCAUAAGCGCACAGUAUCGCAUGAUACAGUGUGAAAAACGAUAGUGGCAUACGAUGGACCCGCGUCUGAUUAGCUAGUUGGCGGGGUAACGGCCCACCAAAGGCAACGAUCAGUAGGGGUUCUGAGAGGAAGGUCCCCCACAUUGGAACUGAGACACGGUCCAAAACUCCUACGGGAGGCAGCAGUGAGGAAUAUUGGUCAAUGGGCGAGAGCCUGAACCAGCCAAGUAGCGUGCAGGACGACGGCCCUAUGGGUUGUAAACUGCUUUUAUAAGGGAUAAAAUACGGGACUGUCCNGUUUGCAUGUACCUUAUGAAUAAGGACCGGCUAAUUCCGUGCCAGCAGCCG